AGUAGGGUUGGUGCAUGACUUCCCUUAUGCCUCCACAAUCACAUUCCCUGUUUAUUGUCAGGCUGGGGCAUGACUUUCCAAAUGCCAAGUCCUAUAAAAAAUACACUAAAAAUACACUAUAAAAUGCUGAUCACAAGACAAUGCGUAUUAGGCUACAGUAGACUACUACUGAAAACUAAAUAUUUGGCUUAAGACUUUAGUUGAUUGUAUUUGUUAAAAGAUAACUGUUAAUGGGGGAUAUGGAGUUUCACGUCUACUUAUAAACUCUUACACAUUGGUGAAUGUUUACACCGUCAGUCUGUGGGGAAACUACAUUUCCAGCAUGUAUAAACAGUUAUUGGCUCUUACAUAAAAUCCCCUAUUCACACAUACAAUGAACUCCAUAGUUGUAGCCUACUGUUCCAUACAUAUUUGGAAGUAGUCCAGCCUAAUGCACAUUGUCUUCAAAGUGAUCGGCACCCUAAGCAUAUGACUAAAGGCUUGAUGUUAAAAAGUCAUGGCCCUACAAUCUUACAAAUCUGUGACUUGUUUCUGUGUUUUCAUCCUUGUUCUCAAACCUUCACUUUGAGAAAGUCCUAAUUUCCUAUCCUAGUGCCCUGGUAAUGAAAAGGAAGGAUGUCACAUCCCUUCUACCUCCCUCUUUCCAGUGUCCGUUGAGGCCCUCUUUCUCAGAUAAAUGAUUAGGCCUACCAAUGACAAUGACCCUUCCAGAUGAUCUCUUUCCUCUUUCCGGUGUUCUUUCCAAAGGCCUUAUCGAGGCUAGCCUGAUUCCAGAUCUGUUUGUGCUGUUUUGCCAACUCCUAUGGUCAUUGUCAUACUGCACAAACAUUAGUUGGCAAGACAGCACCAACAGAUCUGGGACCAGGAUGGUCUAUAUCUAUGUAUGGGUUCUAUAGGUCCAGUGGGGUGUACGGGUUCUAUAGGUCCAGUGGUGUGUAUGGGUUCUAUAGGUCCAGUGGGGUGUAUGGGUUCUAUAGGUCUAGUGGUGUGUAUGGGUUCUAUAGGUCCAGUGGGGUGUAUGGGUUCUAUAGGUCUAGUGGUGUGUAUGGGUUCUAUAGGUCCAGUGGUGUGUAUGGGUUCUAUAGGUCCAGUGGGGUGUAUGGGUUCUAUAGAGGUGACACAUCAAUGAUCAGUACUGUAGAGGUACCACAUCUAUGAUCAGUACUGUAGAGAUACCACAUCAAUGAUCAGUACUGUAGAGGUGCCACAUCUAUGAUCAGUACUGUAGAGGUACCACAUCUAUGAUCAGUACUGUAGAGGUACCACAUCUAUGAUUAGUACUGUAGAGGUGCCACAUCUAUGCUUAGUGUAAACUAGACUCAUUGCCGGGUUGUGGAGAAGACAGAUGGUGUGUCAGAAUAAAGAAAUAUGGGAUAUAGAGAAGACAGCUGUUGUCUCAGAUUAAAGAAAUACGGGCUGUAGAGAAGACAGCUGGUUUGUCAGUGUAAACAAAGACAUUGGAAUCCAUUGUUCUACACACUUUUAUUGUUUUUAUGCAACUUUUUGUCUUCUAUUUUGCAAGAGAGACUUUCUGUCUCUAAUAUGUUCAAAGUUGAAAUAAUGCAAUGUUGAUUGAGAUAAUAUAGGUAUUUUUGAAGUGGGGCCAACUUUCAGAGUCGAAUAUGUUUGAGUCUUAUCUAUGAGAUAAAAUCUCUUUGUUCAAUGUUGAAAUUAUUGAAUGUUAAUUGUAGGGAAAUGUAUUUUUUGUAAGAGUGCCAACUUUCAGAGUCAUAUCUGUUUAACCUCUUGUAGUUUUGCAUUUAACCCAUGAUGUCACCCUUGGGAAAUGUGAUUGUCAGCUAAAAGCCAAUCAGAGCAGAGCUCUUCAUGGGACACUGCCAACCUGCCCAGUAGUUUACAUUCUGUGUGCAAGACCACACGCACGCACACAUACACCCACACACACAUCCAUACAUUCCGUACAUAUAGAUCCUUUAGCCUCCCUGUGACGUUGUGAGAGAUCAGACCUCUGAUUUCACGAACCUGUGGAAAUGGAUGUUGUUAUUGAAGAAGGCCUUGUCUGACAUCUUUAGAACGGGUGGGGUUUUGACAAUAACUCCAACAUUCCAGCGUCCGUUGUCUGUCCCUUUUGUUCAUAUCAACCAGUCUUACGUACUGUACUGUAUGUCUGGAACCAACAGGACCCUGAACCGUUUCUACCCUCAAGCUAUAAGACUACUAAAGAGUUAGUCUGGCUAUUUGGUUAACUAUGUAAAUAUCUGCAUUGACCCUUUUUGCAAUAAAAAAAAAAAAAAACAACAUAUGACAUACCCUGCUGCUACCAUCUGCUAUCUGUCACUUUAGUCCUAGUUAUAUGUACAUAUCUCCAUGUACAUGGCGGCAGGGUAGCCUAGUGGUUAGAGCGUUGGACUAGUAACCGAAAGGUUGCAAGAUCGAAUCCCCGAGCUGACAGCGUAACAAUCUGCCAUUCUGCCCCUGAACAAGGCAGGUAACCCACUCAUUGAAAAUACGAAUGAGUUCUUAACUGACUUGACUAGUAAAAUAAAAUAUCUCUCAAUUACCCCUGCGCAUGGACUAAGUACUGAUACCCCGUGUAUAUCGCCAAGUCCUUGUUAUGUAUUUUCCUGUUAUAUCUCUAUUUUAUUUCUCUCUGCAUUGUUGGGAAAGACCGUAAGUAAACUGUUAGUCUACACUGAAGCAUGUGACAAAUACAAUUUGAUUGGAUUUGUAAGUCAUGAGUUGCGACAAUAAUUCUUAGCUAUGCAACAGGAUGAAAUGUUGCAGGUUGGUAAAUUACCCCAGAGGGCUAUGUGCAGCCUACAGGGGUAAGGCUAUGAUAUGGAGUCUUUACAUCUGCCUACCCCUCCCUGCAAGAUCAGCAUGACCUUUCUCCUCAGAGACGGAAUUCAUCUGUAAAGUAAAAUCCAUCCCUGGAUGGAGGGAGGGAUGGAUGGAGGGAGGGAUGGAUGGAGGGAUGGAUGGAUGGAUGGAGGGAUGGAGGGAUGGAUGGAUGGAGGGAGGGAUGGAUGGAUGGAUGGAGGGAGGGAUGGAUGGA
rnacentral:lncRNA from 13 species